CCCCCCCCCCCCCCUUCAUUAUUCCUGACUCAGCAGAUCUUCCUUCAAUCACCGGGCGCGGGCGGGCCUGCGCAUGCGCACUGAUCGCUAUCGUCCGUAUAAUUAUGCAAAUUAACCAGCCGCCAAACGCAAACCGCCAAUCUAUAUGCCCGGCCCGCGCCAAUUGCAAUUUGAAAAAGCCAUCUCCGCCGCGCCGUUAGUUUGCACAGCAUAUUUUUAUCGAGUGCGAUAAAGAAGGAUAAAGAAGGCCGUUUUAAUAAUAAUUCAACCACUGAAAUCACACGGACCAGAUUUGGAAAAUGACUUGAAAGCUAAGACAUUCGCAGUAGGCUCUACAAGAGAGGGAGACCCAAAACCACCUGGAGUCAUACUGAGCCUAGAGGAGGUGAUGAAGUCAGUGAACAUGACCUGGGGGGCCGCUGGGGUACCGGUAGUUUCCAGAAGAAGGCCCAGCUCAGAACCGCCAGGAGCUAGGAGUGGAGAUCCGAAUAUUUUGUUGCUGUCCUCCAUGAGGGAGGCUGUAAGUUAGAUACAUCGCAUCUACCAGCAAAGAACGUGUGCCAGUACAGGAAAGGAAUGUACCUGUCGCACGUGAACUCUUCAGAGGCAGUGAGGACAACAAGAUCUGCAAGCAAGUGAUCCUUUUUAUACAUCGCAUCUACCAGCAAAGAAUGUGUGCCUGUACAGGAAAGGAAUGUACCUGUCGCAUGUGAACUCUUCAGAGGCAAUGAGGACAAGAUCUGCAAGCAAGUGAUCCUUUUUUAUACAUCGCAUCUACCAGCAAAGAUCAAGUGCCACUACAGGAAAGGGAAGGUACCUGUCUCACGUUUCCUCUUCAGAGCCAGUGAGGGCCCCAAGAUCUCAAUAAAUAAUAAUUAAAAAAAGACUCCGUUAUCAUUCCUUUAAAAAUAGUAUAUAUUAUUUAUUGAAGAUGCAGUAUAUACAGUAAGCAAUGUUUCAGAGAACAAAUGAGAGAAGUCCUGGAACUGGUACACUCGCUAUUUAACAAUGCUGAUGGUCAGAUACGAUUCCAGGUUGGACCCAGGAGCCAACAUGCUUGUCAGGUGGGUCAUUGAUAAUUCCCUAAGCACCGCAGAUGUGAUCUGAUUUGGUGACAUGACAGUUGAAUUGGUAGUGACUGGAUUUUAACAGUGUGCCCCGGUUUUGAAUUGUUGAAGUAACCAAACUAGAAACAUCUUCUGAGAACUCUGACUGCGAUUCUGAUGAUGAAACUCUGUCUACACUUGGCUCUCACUUAACUUUUUCUUUAGUUUCCAGCUGGGUAACUGAUGCCAGUUUUAACUUUCUUGUGAUUUUGACUUCAACAUAAGUUUAGUUUUAGAGCAGUGUAUUAUAUAAAGAAACCAUGUUGCUUGAACUAGUCUGUGCUCUUACAGUGAUAUUAUUAUGAACUCCUUCAAAUAUGUUUUAUAUAUACAGUCAAAUAUAAAGUUCAGAAUAGUCAUUUAUCUGCUAUCCUUACCACAUGUUUAAAUUGCUUAUAAAUACACAUCGUCCGCAUAUGGAUGCAGGAGAAUUACCCUUCUUUAUUAAUUUUGUUUGGCAUGUUUUCAUUUUGCCAUCUAAAAAAAAUCCUGCAUAUGUCUACAUAUUUGUAAAACAGAAUGUUACUAGCUUUAUUGUGCUUAAAAGUAUUGUAUUAAUACUUCAUACUUUCUUAUAAUAACCAUACAAUUUAGACUGACAUGCAUUGUGAAACUCGAUUGUUACAGGAUAUAUUACUAGUAAGGGUGAAAAUCAUAUUAAGUUUUCAUGAAUUCAUUUUCAAAAGCCAGAUGUGUUAAUGAGGUAAUUUUUUUGGUCUAUCAGGGGUGUGAGAAUUCUUAAGCUGAUUUCUGCUAUUUUUAUUUUCAGCCCUAAAACUCUUCAGCAUUUUCAGCCUUUUAUCUUUCAUUCACACCUGGUUUAUGCAGUUUUACAGUUGAUGUGUCAUCAUUUUAUUCUAGAAUUUUCUUAUGAAUGAUAUUCAGGAAAGAAAUAAUACAUGAUUAUUUUUAGCAGACAUUUUACAUUAGCUUAAAGGGGAAUCCAACCCAAAUAAAAACUUGUUUUUAUAAGAAAAAGAAAAAUCAGACAAGUUGAUAGGUGAAAGUUUGAACAAUAUUGGACAAACAACAAGAAAGUUAUGAAUUUUUAAAAGUUGUAAAUAUUGGUAAUCACUAUACCCAUGGAGACCUUAAAUUGGCCGCAUAUGGGAUGUCAUAGUGAUGUAAGGCAAGGACUACUCUUCCAUGUACUCCAAUACAUAUUAUGGCUAAAAUGUCAUUUUUCCCAAAAGUUUUAUUUCAAAUUAUAUUUUUCUGUCAUGAGGACAUAAAACAAUAUACCACCUGGAUUAUAUUUAGAUUACUGCCCCAGGGGAGUGGGUACUAAGGAGAAAACCACAAAUCCCUGAUAAUAAAGUACAUGGCCUAUGGGAAAGUUGUCCUUGCCCCUUGUCAUAAUUUACUUACCCAGUUGCCAAUUUGAAAUCUACAUACUCUUAGUGAUCUCAAAUUUAAAGCAGCUAUAACUUUCUUAUUGGUUGUCCGAUUUCUUUCAAACUUUCGCCAUUCUGUUCAAUUUAUUUUUCUCCUUCCCAACACAACAUUUUAUGGCCAAGGCUGGAUUCCCCUUUAAGGUUAAAGAUACACUGCAGCACAUGUUUUUCUGUAUAUUUGUAGUAAGAAUUUAACUCAUUUCUACAUGAUCCCACUAAUUUAAAGAUGUUACUUGCUAAAAUCGUGACAAUUUAUUGUAAAGUUUUCAGAGUUGGAACUAAGGUGUAUUUUACUGUAUCUUUCUGUUUUUGGACUCGGGCAAUAAUUUGCUAUUAAAAAACAAGUGUUUGAUUGGAAAAUGUAUUGAUGAGUGUAUUUAGCCAAUAACUUGAGAAUGAUGGAAAAAAUACAAAUACAAGUCAUUCGUAUUUUUAUUACUGCAUUAUUUUUGUUGCUUUUGACGCUGUCAUUUGGGAUUUUGAUUAUAAAUUUGUUAAUAAAUGAUCCUGUUUGAUAUGAAGUUAAAUAAUUGAUUUAAAAUUAUAUUUCCUUGUUUGAGUUUCAUUAGUUGAUACAUGUAAUUGUUUAUUCAAAGGUUUACAUGUUUCCUUUGGUAAAGAUUAUCUUUUAGCACAAGUAGACUUUUUAGUACUUGACAGUGUAAAAAGAUGAAAUAACUCUCAAGGCAACUGUGUCGACUGAUUUAAUUAUGACAUUCUUAAAAAAAGUGUAGUGAGUGUAAUAAGUAAUGGUGAUUAUGUUACUUCUAUUUUGAUGGAAAAGAAAUAUACCAUUUUACUUUAAUAUGUGUAUGUCAAUACAAAUAGACAUAGAGAAUACAACUUUCCUGCACCACUAGCAUUGAUUAUAUUCCAGUAUUCUUGUGAUGGAACAUUUAUUCAUUUGACAUUGGAAUGUUUUGAAUGUAGAGUAACUUAUUGAAUUUGGUACUAGUUAGCAAUUCUGUAUUUCAAAAUGUGGCAUUCACAGACUAGGAUUGCUGAUUGUGUUAAGCAUAUAAAAUGUCUAAGUGUACCUGAUAAUUCACUUCUUAUGCAUUUCACAGUGCAAUAUUAGAUUCAUUAUAAUAAUUAUGAAUGUCGUUGUGUUUGUCCGUGGGUGAACAUGAUUUUUCUUUCUUUACUUGUGCACGAUUAAUUAUCAGAAUUCUAAUAAAUAAUAGCUAAAAUAUUGCCAAAUAAAACAGAUUAUAAUUACUUUUUUUGAUAUUAAA